rnacentral:rRNA from 1 species
UACAGAGGGUGCAAGCGUUAAUCGGAAUUACUGGGCGUAAAGCGUGCGUAGACGGUUAUGUAAGUCAGGUGUGAAAGCCCCGGGCUCAACCUGGGAAUUGCAUUUGAGACUGAAUAGCUAGGGUGCGGAAGAGGGAAGCGGAAUUUCCGGUGUAGCGGUGAAAUGCGUAGAUAUCGGAAGGAACACCAGUGGCGAAAGCGGCUUCCUGGUCCAGCACCGACGUUCAGGCACGAAAGCGUGGGGAGCAAACAGG